CGCCGUUCUUUCCCGGCAUGCCGAGCGGGUGGGUGUGGCCGGAGCGGAGCCGCCGUCGGGCUGUGGCGGGCGCGAUGGCGGCCGCGUCUGCUAGCUCGGAUAUGUUUGAUGAGAUCGUGAUGGCCGAGGAGAGGUUUCAUGGUGAGGGGUAUCAGGAGGGGUAUGCUGAAGGCAGUCACCUUGGAGUUGUUGAGGGAAGGAGGUAUGGAUCGCUCCAUGGUGCCAAGAUGGGGUCUGAGAUUGGCUGCUACCUUGGGUUUGCGCUGACCUGGCAGUGUCUGCUCCAGAAAUGCACAGAUGAAAAGAACAGCAAAAAGAGAAGGGCUCUGGAUUCAUUAAUAGGGAUGAUUCAGAAAUUCCCAUAUGAAGACCCUACUUACGAUAAGCUGCAAGAAGAUCUGGAAAAAAUCAGAGGAAAAUUUAAACAGUUCAUGGCAGAUUAGUCAGAGCUGAGCAGAUGUAGUCAAGGUGUCUUUUGACUGGGCAGUCUUUGGCUUUCAGUAUAAGAGGGAAGACCUCUAGCAGCCACUAAACACAGCCUCCUGUGUCCAGAGAGGCAACCUGAACAAGUAAAAAGCUGCUGUGGCAUUGGUCUGUAUAUGGUAGUCACUGCUCCCUAAAAGCUUGGGGCUAUUCUGUGAAGGAAUUGAUGCUCUGAAGACCACAUUAAAACCAGCUUCAGGAGUUCAGCAGAAGUGGUGGUGGGUACCCCGGGAGCAGGUCUGUUGCCCACAUGCUGCAGGCAGGUAGUGCCCCUGUAUCAGCAGGGCCCAUGCAGGGUGAAGAUGCUGCCCGUGUGCCUUAAUCCCGAUUUGCCGGGAGCACAGUCUUUCUGCCAGUAGUUCCCUCUUCAGCAAACCCAUUAGAAGAAGUCCUCUUAAAUGUUCACAUCUCGCACAUCAGUGGGUGUGCAGGAAAGGUCUGCUUCAUCCUCUACAGUCUUUGUUUCUGAAGAUACGUUGUGCUGCUGUGCCUGACGUAGACUGGAUUCAAGGAGGGAUUCAAUCUGUUCUUGGCAGGCUCGUAAACAAUCCUAGAGAAGAUUAAAUGGAAGGAGAAAAAGACCCAGAGUCCUUUAGAAAAAUAGUAAGAUCACAGACCAAAUACCAUUUCUUGAAAAAGCAAGAGAAAUACAAUCAAGUUAUCUGGGAGGGCAGCAGACUGAAAGGAGUGUGGGAAGAGCAAGAGAAACACCGGACAGUGAAAGGAUUGGAUGAGCUACCCCGUUUUCUGCAGGAUGCUAGCCUGGAUCCAGACUUCAGCAACUAACUCUUGCCAUCUUCUAAUUAACGGCCUAGGAAUGCGUUUGAUCCGUGGCAGCGUACACCUUGGAGGAAAAUCGGAAACAAAGGAAGUAAGUGGCACAAGUAAACGUCCAAUUUUGUGAGGAAGAAAGGGAAAUGCCACAUAAUACACAAGAACCUGAGAUACAUUCCUUCAGCUUUUAUCAGAAUACAACUUCCUCUGGGUUGAAAAAAUAUAAACCAUCUGUCAAACCCUUGAAUGAAAUCAAAGGAAUGGACAGCUUAGAGGGCUCAGUGGAACAGUUUAAGUAUUAAAUCAUGCAUCUCCUUUAUUAUGAUAAAAUAACUUUUGUGUAAAUGUUUUAGCAGUGAAACUAAAGACUUCGGGACUCUAUGAAAGAAAGUCCUCUCUCUGAAUCUAUUCAUAUACCUCUGACGCUCCAUUGUAGCCCUGACCAAUACCCACCUUCAAAGGGGCAUUUCGCCCAGCAUUCUACGGACCUUCAAAAUUAAACCGAUACGAUGAAUUGUGGCCAAACUUUUGUGAUGCGCUGCCAGCGAAAAGGCAAGCUUGAUCUAAAGUCACCUCCGUUAUGUUACCAUGCUUCAAAUAAAUUUAGUUUAGCCCCUUUUCGGAAUCUGCCCCAUUCCCAGGCAGAUUCAAGUACACCCACCUUCUAGCAAGCUUCUGUCAUUCCCCAAAGUCACAGUAGUCCAGGCUGCUUAUUGACACUAUACGCAUUCCAAAGCCAGUCCCCUAACUGAAAUACUGACGCACCGUUGCAGGUAGACUUCAGAAAUGAGGGAUUUCAGUAGGCAAGCGUGAAUUCCACCAAGAUGGGGUUGCUCACAGGGGGUACGGUGGCAGCGCGUUCGCGACACUAUUUACCGAGCUCCACAAACAGAACAUGACCAAAAUGUUUCAGUUUAAUGAGCCUGUCCUGACAGGAUCACGUUUGGGAUUAAUAUUUGCGUUCUUCUUUUAAAUGGAGCAGUAAACAAGAACAUGAAUUCAUAGUCGCACCCUCAUUCUUUCCAAGGUGGAAAAGUGAUAAUGAAGUUUAAAUGACCAGUUUGUGUCUGUCCCUAUAACCACUCCAGACAAGCAGCAUGGACUGCCUUUUUGUUGCAACUCAACAAGGAAUUAUUUGUGGCAGAGGCCACUAAUUUCAGCAUAUUAAUCAGGGGGCCCCUCUCGCCUGUAAUUGGAUGCCCCCAAGUGAAGAGUGUGGCAUCAUUGUCAGCCUCCAUCGCCUCAUCUUGCGCUAUUGAGCGCUCAGGAACAAGGGGGCUUCGGUGAGAUGAAUUAGACCUGACACAGCCACAAUGGGGUAGGGGGCCCCAUCAAUUGAAGCACACAUCCCCAGUAGCCUAUCUGAGACUUCAUCCAAAAAGAAUAAACAACUUCAGCGUUGUUAAAAAGAGAGAGAGAGAGAGAGAGAGGAGGGGGAGGAGAGAGAAGAAUGCCAGCCACCCUGAAGGGAGGACAAAGCAGGCAUAUAGGCGCUGCAGCGCUUUAAAAAAAAUUCCUAACAAGGCGAGUCACCCCUUUUCCUUUUUAAAUGGAGCAGCAAUUCCAUCCGUCUGGAGAGCUGGGGGCUAUGAAUGAAAAUCUUUUCAUUGAGGCAAAUCAAAACUGCGAACAUAAAUCACUUGCUGCAAGAUGCAACAGGUUCCAACUGGUCACAUACCUUGAGACUUCCAAUUUUAUAAAGGCCAGAGAAUAGGAGAAUUGUAACAUGCUUGUUUCAAAGGGGGGAUCUUUCUUUCUCCAUCCGAGAGGAGGAAAGCAACAACAAUAAUAAUAGCAAUAAUAAUAAUAUAAAAGGAGCCUGGUAUGUUUUGAUAACCAGAGGAACAUAAUGAAAUGCUGAAGCUCCAAUAUUUGUUGCUAUUCAUUGUUAUGCUUGUAUAGAGCUGCAGUUCUCCCUCAACACUGGUCUUAACUUGGGCCAAAAGAGGCCUGCUUCCUUUUGAGCUCUCCCUGCCUUGCUCGGCCAUGCCAAAGCCCCAUUCAUUAAGCUCAAUUAUGUGUUAACUUCAAACAACCCCUGGUAAUCUUUUUUUUUUUUUUUUUUUUGCUUUUUCUCCUGAACCUACCACAG